AUUGAACGCUGGCGGCAGGCCUAACACAUGCCAGUCGAACGGUAACAGGAAGCAGCUUGCUGCUUCGCUGACGAGUGGCGGACGGGUGAGUAAUGUCUGGGAAGCUACCUGAUGGAGGGGGAUAACUACUGGAAACGGUAGCUAAUACCGCAUAAUGUCGCAAGACCAAAGAGGGGGACCUUCGGGCCUCUUGCCAUCGGAUGUGCCCAGAUGGGAUUAGCUUGUUGGUGGGGUAACGGCUCACCAAGGCGACGAUCCCUAGCUGGUCUGAGAGGAUGACCAGCCACACUGGAACUGAGACACGGUCCAGACUCCUACGGGAGGCAGCAGUGGGGAAUAUUGCACAAUGGGCGCAAGCCUGAUGCAGCCAUGCCGCGUGUAUGAAGAAGGCCUUCGGGUUGUAAAGUACUUUCAGCGGGGAGGAAGGGAGUAAAGUUAAUACCUUUGCUCAUUGACGUUACCCGCAGAAGAAGCACCGGCUAACUCCGUG
rnacentral:rRNA from 1 species